rnacentral:rRNA from 1 species
GGAUGAACGCUGGCGGCGUGCCUAAUACAUGCAAGUCGAGCGAACAGAUAAGGAGCUUGCUCCUUUGACGUUAGCGGCGGACGGGUGAGUAACACGUGGGUAACCUACCUAUAAGACUGGAAUAACUCCGGGAAACCGGGGCUAAUGCCGGAUAACAUGUUGAACCGCAUGGUUCUACAGUGAAAGGCGGCUUUGCUGUCACUUAUAGAUGGACCCGCGCCGUAUUAGCUAGUUGGUGAGGUAACGGCUCACCAAGGCAACGAUACGUAGCCGACCUGAGAGGGUGAUCGGCCACACUGGAACUGAGACACGGUCCAGACUCCUACGGGAGGCAGCAGUAGGGAAUCUUCCGCAAUGGGCGAAAGCCUGACGGAGCAACGCCGCGUGAGUGAUGAAGGUCUUCGGAUCGUAAAACUCUGUUAUUAGGGAAGAACAAAUGCGUAAGUAACUGUGCGCGUCUUGACGGUACCUAAUCAGAAAGCCACGGCUAACUACGUG